CCUUAAACGAUACGGAUAGUUUGCUUUCACUUUUAAAAAGUGAAGACAAAUGAGUCACGAUGAGUGUCCACACAGAUUGAUACGGUUUAUACGAAAGAGACGAUACUGGGUCUGUAGCUCAGGUGGUUAGAGCGUUCGCCUGAUAAGCGAGAGGUCGGUGGUUCGAGUCCACUCAGACCCACCAAUUCCCUUCCCAAGGAAUUGGCAUACAGUAUCGACACCUUGAUGGGGCUAUAGCUCAGCUGGGAGAGCGCCUGCCUUGCACGCAGGAGGUCAGCAGUUCGAUCCUGCUUAGCUCCACCAUCUUUAAGCGCAUUCGAUGAGUGCUUUUAAAAAUGGUUACUUCAUAAGAAGUGAUUAGCUCUUUAACAAUUUGGAAAGCUGACAAAACAACAAAUUAUUGUUGUUUGUAAAGUUCUCAAAGUAUUCUUAAUUGAAUACUCCAAACAACACAUUCAAGUGUUCUUGGGUUUUGUCUUACUGUUUAAGUAAAACAAAACAUAUUUGAGUCCGGCAAAAUCGAAAUGUCUCUCGCUCAUUCAAAUAAUGAGAUAGCAACUUUGGUUGUUUAACUUCAACUCGAAACUCCUUCGGGUUGUAU
rnacentral:misc_RNA from 1 species